CCUACGGGUGGCAGCAGUGAGGAAUAUUGGUCAAUGGCCGGAAGUCUGAACCAGCCAAGCCGCGUGAAGGACGAAGGUGCCAAGCAUUGUAAACUUCUUUUGUCAAGGGACAAAAUCAGGCUCGAGAGCCUGACCGCGGGUACUUUAAGAACAAGCAUCGGCUAACUCCGUGCCAGCAGCCGCGGUAAUACGGAGGAUGCGAGCGUUAUCCGGAUUUAUUGGGUUUAAAGGGUGCGUAGGCGGACUGUUAAGUCCGCGGUAAACGCCCGGGGCUCAACCCCGGCGAGCCGUUGAAACUGGCGGUCUUGAGAGGUGGAGAGGUAUGCGGAAUGCGCAGUGUAGCGGUGAAAUGCUUAGAUAUUGCGCAGAACUCCGAUUGCGAAGGCAGCAUACCGGAGGCGAUCUGACGCUGAGGCACGAAAGCGUGGGUAUCGAACAGGAUUAGAUACCCCAGUAGUC
rnacentral:rRNA from 1 species